rnacentral:rRNA from 1 species
ACCCUAGAGCGGCGAACGGGUGAGUAACGCGUACGAAACCUACCUUUAAGAGAGGAAUAGCCCUGGGAAACUGGGAGUAAUGCCUCAUAGUAUUCAUUUACCGCAUGGUUUAUGGAUUAAAGCUACGGCGCUUAAAGAUGGUCGUGCGUCUGAUUAGCUAGUUGGUAGGGUAACGGCCUACCAAGGCUACGAUCAGUAGGGGGCGUGAGAGCGUGGCCCCCCACACGGGUACUGAGACACGGACCCGACUCCUACGGGAGGCAGCAGUAAGGAAUAUUGGGCAAUGGACGCAAGUCUGACCCAGCCAUCCCGCGUGCAGGACGAAUGCCCUAUGGGUUGUAAACUGCUUUUGUUUGGGAAGAAAUGUAUUCUUUUAAGAGUAUUUGACGGUACCAGACGAAUAAGCACCGGCUAACUCCGUGCCAGCAGCCGCGGUAAUACGGAGGGUGCAAGCGUUAUCCGGAAUCACUGGGUUUAAAGGGUGCGUAGGCGGCCAGAUAAGUCAGAGGUGAAAGUUUCCGGCUCAACCGGGAGAUUGCCUUUGAUACUGUUUGGCUUGAAUCAGAUUGAGGUUGGCGGAAUGUGACAUGUAGCGGUGAAAUGCAUAGAUAUGUCAUAGAACAUCGAUUGCGAAGGCAGCUGGCUGGAUCUGUAUUGACGCUGAGGCACGAAAGCGUGGGGAGCAAACAGGAUUAGAUAC